AGACUAGAUUGCCAGGGGACAUAUGAUGAUCAAGAAAGUGGUUUUCCCAGGGCAUCGCUUCUCAGCCUCUUGACCUAAGAUCAAGUGUACUUGACUGCACAAUUUUGUGGCAGUGGGGAUCUGCUUUCUUGCUUUCCCCCU
rnacentral:snRNA from 1 species